rnacentral:rRNA from 1 species
UACAGAGGGUGCGAGCGUUGUCCGGAAUCACUGGGCGUAAAGGGCGCGUAGGCGGUCUGGUAAGCGUGCGGUGAAAGCCCGGGGCUCAACCCCGGGUCGGCCGUGCGAACUGCUGGACUGGAGCUUGUCAGAGGCAGGCGGAAUUCCGGGUGUAGCGGUGGAAUGCGUAGAGAUCCGGAAGAACACCGGUGGCGAAGGCGGCCCGCUGGGCAGUGGCUGACGCUGAGGCGCGACAGCGUGGGGAGCAAACAGG